UACAUUUUUAUUUGGAAAAGAACAAAACCUUCCAACCCUCCACCACCACUGCCCACCUUCCUGCUCAUACUCCUUUCUUCUAAACCCUAACCCUAAUUCUCGUUUAGUCCGUCAAGCAUGGAAGCUUCAAUGACUCUCUCACGCAUUGGCCUCGCUGGCCUAGCCGUCAUGGGCCAAAACCUCGCCCUCAACAUUGCCGAGAAAGGCUUCCCCAUUUCUGUUUACAACCGAACCACCACCAAAGUCGACGAGACACUGGAGAGAGCUCAGCAAGAAGGCAACCUCCCACUCACCGGUCACUAUUCACCUCGUGAUUUUGUCCUCUCUCUUCAACGCCCUAGAUCCGUCAUCAUACUUGUCAAGGCCGGAUCCCCCGUCGAUCAGACCAUCGCCGCUCUCUCUGAAUUCAUGGAGGCCGGCGACUGCAUCAUCGACGGUGGCAAUGAAUGGUACGAGAACACAGAGCGCCGAAUGCGCGAAGUGGCAGAUCGCGGUAUUCUCUAUCUGGGUAUGGGCGUUUCAGGUGGAGAAGAGGGUGCCCGUCAUGGGCCUUCGCUCAUGCCCGGGGGGUCGUACCAGGCCUACUUGAAUAUCGAGGACAUAGUUAAGAAGGUCGCCGCACAGGUCGAAGAUGGGCCUUGUGUGACGUACAUAGGUGAAGGAGGGUCUGGGAAUUUCGUCAAGAUGGUUCAUAAUGGCAUCGAGUAUGGUGAUAUGCAGCUGAUAUCAGAAGCCUACGAUGUCUUGAAGACUGUCGGUGGGUUGUCGAAUGCCGAAUUGGCAGAUAUCUUCGCCCACUGGAACAGGGGAGAGCUGGAGAGCUUCUUGAUUGAGAUAACAGCUGAUAUUUUCAGGGUUAAGGACGAAUAUGGCGAAGGUGAGUUGGUGGAUAAGAUCUUAGAUAAAACGGGGAUGAAGGGAACCGGGAAAUGGACGGUUCAACAGGCAGCAGAGUUGAUGGUUGCUGCGCCCACAAUUGCUGCCUCGUUGGAUUGCAGAUACUUGAGUGGGUUGAAGGAAGAGAGGGAAGCUGCGUCGGAUGUUUUGAGAGAGGCUGGCAUGCGGGAGGAUGUUGGAGCAGUAAGGAGUGGCAUCGAUAAGAAGAGGUUGAUUGAUGAUGUGAGGCAGGCAUUGUACGCUUCGAAGAUUUGUAGCUAUGCUCAAGGGAUGAAUUUGUUGAGGGCAAAGAGUGUGGAGAAGGGUUGGAAUCUUACUUUGGGCGAAUUGGCGAGGAUCUGGAAAGGCGGUUGCAUUAUAAGAGCUGUGUUCUUGGACCGUAUUAAGAAAGCAUACCAGCGGAAUCCUCAAUUGGCAAGUUUACUUGUUGAUCCUGAGUUUGCAAGAGAGAUAGUGCAGAGGCAGGCAGCUUGGAGGAGGGUAGUUGGUUUGGCAAUAGCGGCGGGGAUUAGCACUCCAGGAAUGUCUGCCAGUCUUUCUUACUUUGACACGUACAGGCGGGCAAGGCUUCCUGCAAACCUUGUCCAGGCACAGAGGGACUUGUUUGGGGCCCAUACUUACGAGCGCAUUGAUCGUCCAGGAUCAUUCCAUACUGAAUGGACAAAGCACGCCAGGCAGAGUAGAGCUAGUAUUGGUGCUUUUAACUGAUCUUUGCUCUUUCCCUGUUCACUAGUUAAUCUGUUUGAAGUUGGAAGCGAUGUUGUUAUCAGUACGUAGCAGGGAAAUACUUCGUCAUUUGUCUAUAUGAACAUUAAAUCAUUAAUGAAUGCAACUAAAGACAUUGUCAUCCCGGCAAAUGGGUGAAACUAACAACAAGAUGUUAGUAGCCUCUUUGAUGCAUUGAGUAUGCAUUUGCAGGGUUGUCAUGAAAGGGAGUUUGUGUGAACUCUAAGAGUCCAUCUUCUUGCAUUGUAUGUCUGAUUACUCUUACAUUUUAUCUAUGGUAUUACAUGCUACAUAGUACAGGGAACUUGGGUGCACGUGAAGUUAACUGAUCAUGGCCAUACCAAGAAAGCCUGUUAUCUCUAUUGGUUCGAUCCCACACCUCCUUGAUUGAUUACUCUUAAAUUAAUGCAAUAUUUCUUAUUGAUAAGAAAAGGUAAUUUUCGGAUAUAUCCGUUAGACUUCAA